AGUAACGCGUGGACAACCUACCGUAUGCAGGGGGAUACCAGCUGGAAACAGCUGCUAAUACCGCAUAUGCGCACAGGGCCGCAUGGCCUGGUGCGGAAAGGAGCAAUCCGGCAUACGAUGGGUCCGCGUCCGAUUAGCUAGUUGGCGGGGCAGCGGCCCACCAAGGCGACGAUCGGUAGCCGGCCUGAGAGGUUGACCGGCCACAUUGGGACUGAGAUACGGCCCAGACUCCUACGGGAGGCAGCAG
rnacentral:rRNA from 1 species